rnacentral:rRNA from 1 species
UACGUAGGGUGCGAGCGUUGUCCGGAAUUAUUGGGCGUAAAGAGCUCGUAGGCGGUUUGUUGCGUCUAUCGUGAAAACCUGCGGCUUAACUGUGGGCUUGCGGUGGAUACGGGCAGACUUGAGUUCGGUAGGGGAGACUGGAAUUCCUGGUGUAGCGGUGAAAUGCGCAGAUAUCAGGAGGAACACCGGUGGCGAAGGCGGGUCUCUGGGCCGAUACUGACGCUGAGGAGCGAAAGCGUGGGGGAGCGAACAGGA